ensembl:snRNA U6 U6 spliceosomal RNA
GUGCUGGCUUCAGCAGCACAUAUACUAAAAUUGGAACCAUACAGAGAAGAUUAGCAUGGCCCCCGCACAAGUAUGACAUGCAAAUUCAUGAAGCCGUCCAUAUUUUU